UCCUGUAUUGCUCCCUCUCUGGGACUGAACCUGCUGCUAAGCAGGUUUGGGCCUCCAGUACUUGGAUGAGAGACCAACUAGGAAAGCUGGGUUUCUGCUGGAA
rnacentral:rRNA from 1 species